GCCGGCAGGGAGGCGCCUCGGCGGGCGGGCCACUCACCAGGUCAGAAAGACCCCGGUCUUGCGGCCCCUCCUCACGGCAUAGAACAUCCCGAACCCGCGAGAGCCGCGGCGGCAGGGCAAGGCGGCCAAGGCGACUCUGUGGGCCAGGAACAGAAGCCAGCUCAUCGCUCACUCCCGGCACCGGGAAGCAUUUCGACUCCCGGCCCAGCGUGGGCGCGAGCCGCCGGCGCUCAACACCGCACUUCCGUCACCGGCGCGGGAAGAUGACGCACGUCUGGGCGGAGUCCUGAUGAGGGCCGGGGCCUAGGGAGGGGCGGUGUCGUAGGGCGGAGCCCGGAGCUCGGCCCCUGACGAGCCCGAACUCGUCAACUUCCUGUCGGUACUUGAAGAAGCGGAGCCAGGGCUGAGAUCCCGAAGGCGGGCGAGGUCUGGGAUGGGGCGGGGCCUAUGGGAGCGGGGCUGAAGCCCUGGGCCCGGCAGAGGAAGGUCGAGAUGGACCAUGUUGGGCCCCUUCUCUCCCCGCCCCCAGGCCGCAGUUCGGGGGCCACGCCCCGGCGUGCUCGGGUCACCGCGGGAAGCCCUUGAACCCCCUGGCGCCCGGCACCCACGUGCGGUAACCGCGGCUCCUCGAGAGCUCCAGGGAUGCGGAUCUACAGUAAGGGCUGUGGCCAGAUGAAUGAAUGCACAUUUUUUAGUGGGCAGAAAGAUGUUAGAAUUCAUGAAUUAGAAUAAGCACAAAGGAGGGCGAGAGGGGAGGCCGUGGAAGCCGCAUUCCUCCCCUUGCCUUGGGCGCCCACCCCCGAAGGGGCGCGUCCCCUCCCUGCUCCACUGCACGUGGGUGUUUAACCAGGGGAUAUCCAGUGCCUCAAGCACCACGACCCGGGAGAAAACUGAGUUGAGAAGGCCUUGGGGAUGAAGGUGAGAAAUUCGAGAAUCCCCGGAGAUAACACAUCAGCAAAUAGUGCGCAGGCAGAACAAGCUGUUGGAGGUGAGAGACACAGAGCAGAGAAGCACCCGCACCUGGAGAGUCAGGAGGGCCUCACAUCAGAACGCCUGAGCAAAUACAGUUUUGAAGGAUACUAAUUUUUUAAAAAGUUCAUUCACAUGAGUUAGACAAAGAGAAAGAAGCAGGACAUUCUAGGAAGAAGGAACGGCCCAGGCAAAAGCGACGCGUACAUUGGCGUGGGUCCAUUCAAGAAUUGUGCCCACAAUAUACCAGGCACUUGUCCAGACCUGCAUCGUCCAAUGCCCACCUCGACCUCCCAAAGUGUUGGGAUUAGAGGCGUGAGCCACCGCGCCCUGCCUGCAUGUGGCUAUUGAGAUGUGCUGUAUGAUACACACCGGACUUUGAAGACUCAGUGUGAAAAAUAAAAAGAAUUUUAAGAGGGGUGGGGGUCGAGGGGAGGCAGAGCAGUAGGACAAAUAGCUAAUGCACGCAGGGCUUAAAACCUAGACAACAGGUUGAUGGGUGCAGCAAACCACCAUGACACAUGUUUAUCUAUAUAGCACCUACAUGUUCUGCACUUGUAUCCUGGAACUUAAAAUUAGAAAAAAAAAAUAAUAAAAGCCAACAUGGCAUUCAUUACUGCCAAAAAAAUUAAAACGAACGGAGCUGUUCUAAACAUGGGUAAGACAACGCAGAGCUUCGGUUGCAGGACAGAGAAUGAAAUAAUAGACCCAUAAGACAGAUAAGUGACUGAUUGUGACUGCUAGGGUGUUUACAGCAUAGGCCGGUGACAGGAACGAGGAGUGUGGGGAUGAGAGCCGACGUGGGCGAGAGUGCAUGCAAUGCAGGGUCAGACGUUGGAUUCAUCUCUCAGGAGUUGAAAAAGGUGG
rnacentral:lncRNA from 10 species